AGCUUUGCACAGUGGCAGUAUUGUAGCCAAUGAGGUUUAUCCGAGGUGCGAUUAUUGCUAAUUAAAAAUACCUUUCUUUUUUAGGACAUUUUUUCCCUCUAGAAGUUUUUUUCUGCCCUAUACAAUCUUCUUUAUUUCCCAUGUGG
rnacentral:snRNA from 1 species